GACGAACGCUGGCGGCGUGCUUAACACAUGCAAGUCGAACGAUGAACCCGGAGCUUGCUCUGGGGGAUUAGUGGCGAACGGGUGAGUAACACGUGAGUAACCUGCCCUGGACUCUGGGAUAAGCGUUGGAAACGACGUCUAAUACCGGAUAGGACCUUGGAUCGCAUGAUCUGGGGCGGAAAGUUUUUUCGGUCUGGGAUGGACUCGCGGCCUAUCAGCUUGUUGGUGAGGUAAUGGCUCACCAAGGCGUCGACGGGUAGCCGGCCUGAGAGGGUGACCGGCCACACUGGGACUGAGACACGGCCCAGACUCCUACGGGAGGCAGCAGUGGGGAAUAUUGCACAAUGGGCGAAAGCCUGAUGCAGCAACGCCGCGUGCGGGAUGACGGCCUUCGGGUUGUAAACCGCUUUUAGUAGGGAAGAAGGGCUUCGGCUUGACGGUACCUGCAGAAAAAGGACCGGCUAACUACGUG
rnacentral:rRNA from 1 species